CAAGAUCAACGUUGCCUUUAACCAUUUGUCUUUUGCUGUUCUUCCUUGGGGCUUUGGGCUCUGAAGAUGAUGGUAGCAAUGACCACGAUGGUACCAAGGAUGGUGGCUUCUCUGUUCAAGCACAUAUUAGCAAGGAGGCCUCCAGGGGUAGGGUCUUCUGGACUGGUCCAUCCUGAAAGCCAAAGAGCCCAAACUAUCUCAAGAGAGGCCAGGGAGAUAAAAACAUGAGUAUAUGACUAUCUGGGUCUCAGAAUCAGAUCCUCUGGGGUUCUUGCCCCAGUGGUUUCUAUAGUGGUGAUGCCUCUGUGUCCUGUUGCUUAGGGGUGCUCUUCUCCACAUAGAGCUGUCCCACUUGCUGAGAGUCCCAGACUCUCCUCAGCAGGAGGACUAGAGGACAUAUUGGGGAGACAUGACAGGGACAUGGGGACUGGGAGUUACAGGGAUGUGAGGCAGAUCCAUGGGGAAUGGGGACACCUGAAUGCUAUUUUGCUCCUGUGUCGCAUCAGUAUAUUAGAACCUUCUAGAACACUCAAUCCAGACACGCCCACAGGGAAGAAGCUGGGGUGCUGAAGGCCAAGAUGAAGGAAUAGGGCCAUGAGUUCAGGCAGUUCAACACUGGAUGCAAGAGGAAACAGAAGAACAUAUUACUUAUUUAUUUUGUUACUGUGACCAAAAUAGCCAUUUUGUGGGAUGCAAUCUGUGGGAAGAAAGGUGUAUUGUGGCUUAGCGGGAAAUGUGCACAGGCAGCUCCUCACAUCUUGGCAGAUCAGGAAACAGAGACCAGACUAAACUAAGGCUUGGCUCUAACUCUCAAAGUGCACCCCAAAUGAGGUACUUCCUCCAGAGG
rnacentral:lncRNA from 1 species